GCCCCCCUUCUUCUUCUUCCUCCUCAUCAAUAGAUCUGCUGCUGAUGUUCUUUCUCCUACUAUCCUACUCUCCUACUACUACUAUGUAGUGUGCACUGUGUAGUAAGUAGUACUACGUGUUUCUGGAGAAGGCGAAGGCGAAGGCGAAGGCGAAGGCGGAGGCUGCCGCCGCUUUAAAGACGAGAGGAAAUGCGGCGUCGUGAUGGCGCCGGCGAAGACGAGCAGCCUCGGAAACGCUGACCGGCCGGUCACCGUCCGUCCCGGAUCUCCACGCGCCGCCGCCCGCCUGAGGUAUUGCCGCUUCCAAUAUAAACCCUUCUCUCUCUCUCAAUCUAGGUGUGCCGCCGCCGCCGUCGCCGUCGACCAACAUUUUGGCCGCCGUUGAUCCUGCCUGCUUCCUCUCUUCCCGUCUCCCGUUUCCAAGCAGCAUCCCAUCCGCUUUACCUUCGCUUUUGUUCGUCCCUCGUCGCGUCCAUCCAGAGAAACAAGAUCGAUGGGUACCACACUCACGGGCCCAUGGCCUCGACCACCAGGCCCAGCCCAAUCAUCAUCACUUCUGCGUGAUCCAACAAUCUGCAGCAACGCCCCUGGAAUUCACAGAUGGUGUGACCACCAGGCCCAGCACAACCAUCAGUUUUGCCUCAUCCAACCAAGCAGAAACUGAAGAAAACCUCUGCACAGGUAUCACCUGUAAUCAUCCUCAUUCACAGUUACGGAUAGAGCAACAUUUAGUAGCAUCUGCCACUGAAGUACUGAACUCAGUCCUUUUCGAUUACUUGUUAAGACUGUUUACUGGCAGAUUCCAAUAAAAUCACAAGCACACACACAGCAAGUAUACUAUCAGAUUCAAACAUAACAAUCAGAGAGUAAACCACAGUCCAUCGACAAGCAAACAGAUUCAUACCAAUUUGUUGAAACAGACAGUUCGCGAGUCAGUGCAGUAUCAGACUCUCAGUAACAUGGUCAGAUCAAGCAGCACAACCAGUCAAAACGCAUAGAUGCGCAAUAAACAUAGUUAAAAACAGCAUAAGCGAGGUCUUCGUUACAAGAACCUGAAUACUUCCCAACCUUUUAUUGGAUCUCCUCCCUUUUGAUCUAACAAGCAGAGGACAUUGGCAACUCUUUCCUCUUACCCAGGAUCAGUCAGUGGGAGAAGCUGGUACUCUGGCAGCAAAAAGCAUGCACCAUUUUCCCUUUUUUUUUUAUCCUAUUUAAUUUGAGAGGUGCAACCACUGCCAGACUUAUACACAGGAUAACUGUGC